rnacentral:rRNA from 1 species
CCCAGACUCCUACGGGAGGCAGCAGUGGGGAAUAUUGCACAAUGGGGGAAACCCUGAUGCAGCGACGCCGCGUGAGUGAAGAAGUAUUUCGGUAUGUAAAGCUCUAUCAGCAGGGAAGAAAUAGCGACCUUUGGGUCGCCAGACGGUACCUGACUAAGAAGCCCCGGCUAACUACGUGCCAGCAGCCGCGGUAAUACGUAUGGGGCAAGCGUUAUCCGGAUUUACUGGGUGUAAAGGGAGCGCAGGCGGCCUGCCAAGUCUGGUGUGAAAACCCGGGGCCCAACCCCGGGCCUGCAUUGGAAACUGGCGGGCUGGAGUGUCGGAGGGGCAGGCGGAAUUCCUAGUGUAGCGGUGAAAUGCGUAGAUAUUAGGAGGAACACCGGUGGCGAAGGCGGCUUACUGGACUGUAACUGACGUUGAGGCUCGAAAGCGUGGGGAGCAAACAGGAUUAGAUACCCGAGUA